rnacentral:rRNA from 1 species
UACGUAGGGUCCGAGCGUUGUCCGGAAUUAUUGGGCGUAAAGGGCUCGUAGGCGGUCCGUCACGUCGGGAGUGAAAACUCAGGGCUCAACCCUGAGCGUGCUUCCGAUACGGGCGGACUAGAGGUAUGCAGGGGAGAACGGAAUUCCUGGUGUAGCGGUGGAAUGCGCAGAUAUCAGGAGGAACACCGGUGGCGAAGGCGGCUCACUGGACCGGUACUGACGCUGAGACGCGAAAGCCAGGGGAGCAAACGGG